rnacentral:rRNA from 1 species
GAUGAACGCUGGCGGUGUGCUUAACACAUGCAAGUCGAACGAUGAAGCCGGAGCUUGCUCCGGUGGAUUAGUGGCGAACGGGUGAGUAACACGUGAGCAAUCUGCCCUUGACUCUGGGAUAACUGCGGGAAACUGUAGCUAAUACCGGAUACGACACCUUGGGGCAUCCCAGGGUGUGGAAAGAAUUUCGGUCAAGGAUGAGCUCGCGGCCUCUCAGCCAGUUGGUGAGGUAAUGGCUCACCAAGGCGACGACGGGUAGCCUGCCUGAGAGGGUGACCGGCCACACUGGAACUGAGACACGGUCAAGACUCCUACGGUAGGCAGGAGUGGGAAAUAUUGCACAAUGGGCGAAAGCCUGAUGCAGCAACGCCGCGUGAGGGAGGAAGGCCUUCGGGUUGUAAACCUCUUUUAGCAGGGAAGAAGCGAAAGUGACGGUACCUGCAGAAAAAGCACCGGCUAACUACGUGCCAGCAGCCGCCGUAA